CUGGCCCCGCGCGGCCGCCGUAGAAUCCCCGUUGCCAUGGCUCCCAGGUGCGGGCGCGCGGAGGAGAGACUAGGAGGCGUCCAGGGAGUCCUUGGGGGUCCUGGUCGAGCUUCCUGGGCCCGCGAACCCGAGAGGCGCCAUGGGACGGAUCACGGAAGAUCUUAUUAGACGGAAUGCCGAGCACAACGACUGUAUAAUUUUUUCCCUGGAGGAGCUCUCCUUGCAUCAGCAAGAAAUAGAAAGACUAGAACAUAUUGACAGGUGGUGCCGGGAUUUAAAAAUCCUCUAUCUUCAAAAUAAUCUCAUUGGAAAAAUUGAAAAUGUUAGCAAACUCAAGAAACUUGAAUAUUUGAAUUUAGCUUUAAACAACAUUGAAAAAAUUGAAAAUUUGGAAGCAGGAUGCGAAGGGCUGACAAAGCUUGACUUGACGGUAAAUUUCAUUGGUGAGCUGAGCAGUGUGAAAACCCUUCAACACAACAUCCACCUGAAGGAGCUCUUCCUCAUGGGAAACCCCUGCGCUGACUUUGACGGCUACAGACAGUUCGUGGUGGCAGCUCUGCAACAACUAAAGUGGUUGGAUGGUAAAGAAAUUGAGCGUUCAGAAAGGAUUCAGGCAUUACAGGACUUUCCAGUAGUUGAACAACAAAUCAGAGAGCAGGAGAAAGCUUACUGCCUCAAACGAGCCAAGGACAAGGAAGAGGCUCAGAGGAAACUGCAGGAGGAGGAAAACAAAGGCGAGAGGGAGGGAAGGCACACAGGCUUUGACGGACGUUGGUACACAGACAUCAGUGCUACUCUCCCAUCUUCUGAAGAGAGCAAAGACGACGUCCAGGCACCAGAAAUACAAGAAGAGGAAUGUAAGAAAAAGAAAUUAGACAGCGGUGAAGACGACCUGGAAUUCUGGAAUAAGCCCUCUUUGUAUACCCCUGAAUCUAGAUUGGAAACUCUGAGACAUAUGGAAAAACAACGGAAAGACCAAGAAAAAUUAAGUGAAAAAAAGAAGAAAGUGAAACCACCCAGGGUGCUGAUCUGUGAGGAUGGGAGAGCCCUGAAUGUAAAUGAGCCCAAACUUGACUUCUCUUUGAGAGAUGAUGAAAAGCGUAACCAGAUCGUCCUGGACCUGGCUGUAUAUAGGUAUAUGGACACCUCUUUAAUCGAUGUUGAUGUACAACCAACUUACGUGCGAGUGAUGGUCAAGGGAAAGCCAUUUCAGCUUGUCCUUCCUGCAGAAGUCAAACCUGAUAGCAGCUCUGCUAAAAGAGCUCAGACAACAGGGCAUCUGGUGGUCUACAUGCCCAAGGUGGGCGAGAUAAUCACAGGUUGUCAAGGAACAUCAAAGCCAGUGAAAAGCACGCCGGACAGCAGCAGGGAGAAGACGAACAAAAGAAGCCAGCAAAUGGAGAGACUAGAAGUAGAUCCCAGCAAGCAUGCCUUCCCUGAUGUGGCUAACAUAUUUCAAGCGAAAAAACACACGCCCAGAAGAGUUCAAGCUGAACCCAAAAUCAUACCAAGCGAGGGAGAUCCAGACUUUGAAGAUAAUCCCGAAGUGCCUCCGUUGAUUUGAAAACUUCAGGCUGCACCGACUGUGCACUCAGUGCAGAGAGUGCGUGUAUGUUAUUUCUGGGGUAAACACAGUUAUUGUCAACAUUACUCCUCCGAUGUUUUAGGUCCUACUUUGUACAUUAAUAUUCUCAAACCAGUUUACAAUUAAAAUGUGUACCUUCAAAAUGCUAUAACAUCAUUUGUCUAUAGUAAAGUGUUGGCUAGGGAAAAUGUUCAGUAAAUCACAGAACUAUUAUAGAAACACGCUGAUUAUAAAUCCCAGAAUUGCCUGCUUGUGCAGAUAGAUGAAGUUGUGGAUUAAAGCACAGAUUAUUAAACCUGUGCUUCGGCAGACGGGUCAAGCUCAGAAGUUAAAAUCGUAAUUUCAGAUCAAAUUGGAAUGCUUUCAGGUGAUUUUAAGCAGUGUUUCUGUUUUCUUCUCAUGACAUGUCUGCUUUCUCUGAUGGCGAGGUAUAAUGGCAAGAAGAUGAGGUUGGAAAUGAGACACCUUGAAGUCAGAUUCCCUUUCAGUCGCUUUGGAUGAAACUUCAGCAAGUGCAUGAACUUCCCCACGCCUUAGUGGCUCCAUCUGUGACUGGGGAGGAAGAAUACUUGCCGUCUCCUGAGCCCUGGGACCUGCUCUGUUCAUCAAGGGGUCGGUGGUGACAAGGCAGUGAAAUGUACAAACACGGACCCCGUCAGGCAGUGGUAAGAGCCUGCAGUCAGAAGGCAGUUCUGUUUGUUCUCCAGUGGAAAUGCUCUCGCCUCUGGAACCAAUACCUCUAAAGCAGCAGGGCCCAAAGUUGCAGGAACAGGAAUGAAACUGGCCAGUUCAUCAUUAUGGGUGUUAGUGAGAGGACCCUCUCCCAUUUCGAUCCCUUGAUCCCAGAUCCACGCUUCUUGGCUCUGGGAGAAAUAGCACCACAUGCUGGCUAGGGAUUCAGAGCCCAUACUUUAUCCUUGGGAACAUGAUCUCACCCGUGCGAGGUAUUAUCACCCAGCUGGCCCUGUAGCUGCGUCUUCAAAAGGCCACUUCAUUGUUCUACCAGGUCAGCUGCUCCAGGAUGAUGAUGAACAUGGUAAAUCCAGCGAAUUCCCUAGAUAUAACUCCACGGGCAUACUUCAUUUGCUGUGAAAAUGAGUUCCUCGGCCAGAGGCGGUGCUCCAUGAAGUACUGUGGCAGUGAAUAGUGCACCCACUGCGUAAACCCACAGAUGGUGGCUUUGGCAGAAGCACUGUAGGAAGGAAGGCAGAUUCAUGUUCAGAACAAGCGUAUAUUCCAGUGAGAACAAAGCACCGCUCCUUCCAUGAUGGGUGGAAGUGUUCCAGUGUAAUCGACUUUCCAGCAGGUGAUGGAUGGUCCCCUGGGGUAUAGUGCCAUGUAAGGAGCUCCCUGUUGGUUUCUGCCAUUGUCAAAUUGGUCAUUGUAGAUGUCUGCAAAUUAUUUGACACUCUUCCCAUCAAGAGGUGGGGUCUCUGCCCUCCUAUCUUGAAUAUGGACCAACCUUAGUGACUUGCUUGCAACCUACAGCAUAAUGAUAAAAUGAUACUAUGUGCUGUCAAGGCUAAAUCAGAAAAGGCCAUAUUACAACCAUCUGAUUCUCUUGGGACACUCUCUCUGGGGGAAUCCAGCUGCCAUGUAAAAAGUCCAGCUCCCCUGGGGCUGCCAUGCUGGAGAUGCCGCAGGAGGUGUUCCUGUCCAUUGCCCCAGAAGCACUCUCAGCUGACGGCAUUACCUGCCAGACAUAGGAGUGCACCAUCUUUGAUGUCCAGUCCUGGCUACCAUCUGGCUGCAAUUGCAUGAGAAACGUCAAAGUGAGAACCACCCUGCUGAGCCUUCCCAAACUCUGACACACAACAU